UACGAAGGGGGCUAGCGUUGCUCGGAAUCACUGGGCGUAAAGGGUGCGUAGGCGGGUUUUUAAGUCAGAGGUGAAAUCCUGGAGCUCAACUCCAGAACUGCCUUUGAUACUGAGGAUCUUGAGUUCGGGAGAGGUGAGUGGAACUGCGAGUGUAGAGGUGAAAUUCGUAGAUAUUCGCAAGAACACCAGUGGCGAAGGCGGCUCACUGGCCCGAUACUGACGCUGAGGUGCGAAAGCGUGGGGAGCAAACAGG
rnacentral:rRNA from 1 species